CAUAUUGCUGGGACAGAACUGGUCUGGUUUAAAUCUGUCCCACAGAUUCCAGUUUGUUUUCUUCUUCACACUCCAGGGAUACUUAUGGAGUCCCACAGGGUUGUGGCUCGAUCCAUUUCUCUUCCAGUCGGUGAGAUGAUGUCAGCAGGCUGAUGGGCGGAGCCAGCCUUCCAGAGAAGUCAGCUUCCUGCCAGACUGGGUAGAGCUGGCAGGAAGGCUGCAGCGACUCGGAGAAGAUCUCUGUCCCACUGAGCGCAGCAGCAGAGUCUCCUCCUACAGACUGCAGAGCUGCUGGACUCCAGCUGUGAACCUCAGUACAUUCCAUCUGUGGAAACAUGGAAAACCUGGCUGUGAUCUGCUUCUUGGCUGUCCUUGGUCAGAGCUUGGAAGCUGAUAUUACUGCCAUCAGAUCUGAAGUGUUUCCAUCAGAGGGAGGCAAAGUCACUCUGUCCUGUAACUAUUCAGUUAAAGCAGACAACCUCCAGUGGUAUCGACAAGAUCCUGGAUCAGCUCCUCGCUUCCUUCUCCUUAUAACUGAUACUACAGAUCCAACUGUGGUGAAAGCAGAACCUCCAAACGCUCGACUGACUGCAGGAUUGAACAAGGAGAGAAACCGAUUGGAUCUGCUGAUCUCCUCUGCUGCAGUGACAGACUCUGCUGUGUAUUACUGCGCUCUGCAGCCCACAGUGACAGGAAACACCAGAACCCUGUACAAAAUCCUGCAGUACUCCACAGCGGCCACUAGAGGGCCUCACUCCCUGUUAAACCACUAAAACCUGCAGUACUCCACAGCAGCCACUAGAGGGCCUCACUCCCUGUUAAUCCUCUGGUUGUUGAGUCUUUGAACUGAAGACAACAGAGACAUGAAGCAGUAAAGAUCAGAGACAGAGCUGCUGAGGAAGCAGAAAACUCUCUGAUUGGUCGAGGUGAAGUGGCCCCGCCCACUGACCUUCAGCUCAUCCAAUGACAUCAUUUCUGCUGCAGUGGAAGAAUAUUGCUGAUCUGCUUGUUCUCUCAGUUUAACUUUGGGAGAGCUCCUGCGUCUCCUGUCCUUCGUCGUUCCGACCUUCAGGAAGGUUAAUAGAUAACCAACUGUCACCUGUCAAUGUCCCCCUGGGAAAGGCGUUUAACCCCAGGUUGUCUGUGAUCUGAGUUGCAUGUGAAUGUCUUUAUUGGUGCAACUCCAGGUCCAGUGGAAGACGAAUACAUCGGCAUUUCUUUGCUCUCCUGCAGACGAUGGUGGAGACACAGAUGAUGUCAUCUGAUUUUUAUGUGCAUCUUGGUGGAAACAAGUUUACGGUUGAAAUGGUCCAACAGCGAAAGGUUUUUUAAUGAGGUGUGAUUAUUUCUACAUACUGAAUGUCAUCAGGACAAGAUCUAAAGUCUGAUGACAGAAGUGGACAGGUCUGUGGAUUCUUUGAGUAAAACCAACUGAGUCUAAGAUAACAAUGAUGUUACAUCUUAUCACCCUCAGUGUCAGAAUAAACAUUAAAAUGCCCCACUAUAAUAAUCUUA